rnacentral:rRNA from 1 species
UACGGGGGGGGCAAGCGUUGUUCGGAAUUACUGGGCGUAAAGGGCUCGUAGGCGGCCAACUAAGUCAGACGUGAAAUCCCUCGGCUUAACCGGGGAACUGCAUCUGAUACUGGAUGGCUUGAGUUCGGGAGAGGGAUGCGGAAUUCCAGGUGUAGCGGUGAAAUGCGUAGAUAUCUGGAGGAACACCGGUGGCGAAGGCGGCAUCCUGGACCAAUACUGACGCUGAGGAGCGAAAGCCAGGGGAGCAAACGGG